AUGGAUCUAAAGCGUGACGAGUGUUCCCGACUCUUCCCAUCAGGAGGUAUAUGCUCGCAAAUGUUCCAUCUCGCAGGGCACAAAUUCUAUCUCUUGGCAAACUGCAAAAUGGUUGAGCAGGCAACGUCGUACAGCUUUGCCCUAUCAUUACAUAUUUUUGAUGAGCCGGCAGGCUCAAUAUGUUUAGAUAUUGAGUUUGCUGCAAGGACAAAGCCGUUAGGAAAAUUUGUGAGCAAGUACGGAUAUAAGAACACCAUGACUGGUGAUUGUUCGCAGGGAUGCGGUGAUCUUUUUGGAAUGCCAUGGUCGACGUUCAUUGCUGAUGACAGCCUCUUCAUCGACGGUGUGCUGCAUCUGAGAGCCGACUUGACUCUGGUGGAGCAGCCUGAAUUACAGACCUGA
rnacentral:rRNA from 1 species